UCAGAGUAAGAUGGACGGUAGCUUUCUGUGAUUGUGGUGAGCUGGAGCCACCUGAUCACUAAGAAGAGACACCUACCUGUCAGCCAGCAUCACCAGGGCUUCCUGUUGAAACACAGCGACAAGGAAGCGAGGAAGCAGAGGGAACUAGUGCUUCCCAGCACCUUAGGAUGUUCCUCAGGACCUACACUGAAUGUAUCUGCACUGUGAGAAGAUGUCCACAGAGGCCUGCCGGGCACGUAUUUAUUCACAGUUUUGUCCCAUGUUAAGUCCGUUAGCAUAGUAAACCCGAGUGCAUAGUAUGUCAUUUCAUUCCGUUUGAGUUUCUUGAGUGUUUUCUUUAAAUGUCUGCAGAGUUGCUGCCCUUCCUUGAACUAUGAGCACUGCAAUCUUCUUAAUUCUCAGUAUAAAUAGAGAUUUUUGAGCUUUAAGUCUGAGGGGAACUCAGCGGGCCCGGUUGGGGUCUGCAAUGAACAUCAAGAAACCAUCGUGCUGUGGGAGCGUGAUUAUUUUUCUCCCUUUUUGAGAGAUCUUUCCUUUUGAUGCCAGUUUUCUUCCUUGUUUACACAAGUUCGACAAUUUAAAAGGAAAAGGCAAUUGUAAGGGUUUCAAAAUUGCAGAGAAAUUUGAAAGUCUCAUGAACAUUCAUGGCUUUGAUCUGAUCUCUAGGCACAUGGACUUAAAACCAUUGGGCUGCGGAGGCAAUGGCUUAGUCUUUUCUGCUGUAGACAAUGAUUGUGACAAAAGAGUAGCCAUCAAGAAAAUUGUCCUCACUGAUCCCCAGAGUGUCAAACAUGCUCUCCGUGAAAUUAAAAUUAUUAGAAGACUUGACCACGAUAACAUUGUAAAAGUGUUAGAAAUUCUUGGUUCCAGUGGAAGCCAGCUGACAGACGACAUGGGCUCUCUCACGGAGCUAAAUAGCGUCUACAUUGUUCAGGAGUAUAUGGAGACAGACUUGGCGAAUGUGCUGGAACUGGGCCCUUUACUGGAAGAGCAUGCCAGGCUUUUCAUGUAUCAGCUGCUACAUGGGCUCAAAUACAUCCAUUCUGCAAAUGUACUGCACAGAGAUCUCAAGCCAACUAAUCUUUUCAUUAACACUGAAGACUUGGUGCUGAAGAUAGGUGACUUUGGCCUGGCACAGAUCAUGGGUCCUCAUUAUUCCCAUAAGGGUCAUCUUUCUGAAGGAUUGGUUACCAAAUGGUACAGAUCUCCACGGCUUUUACUUUCUCCUAAUAAUUACACUAAAGCCAUUGACAUGUGGGCUGCAGGCUGCAUCUUUGCUGAAAUGCUGACUGGUAAAGCCCUCUUUGCAGGUGCACAUGAACUUGAACAGAUGCAGCUGAUCUUAGAGUCUACCCCUGUGGUGCAUGAGGAGGAUCGGCAGGAGCUUCUCAGCGUGAUUCCAGUUUACAUUAGAAACGACAUGACUGAGCCACACAAACCGCUAACUCAGCUGCUUCCGGGGAUUAGUCAGUCGUGAAGCACUGGAUUUCCAGGAACAGAUUCUGACCUUCAGCCCCAUGGACCAGCUGACAGCCGAGGAAGCACUUUGCCAUCCCUACAUGAGCAUCUACUCCUUCCCAAUGGAUGAACCGAUUUCAAGCCAUCCUUUCCACAUAGAAGACGAAGUGGACGACAUUUUGCUUAUGGAUGAAACACAUAGUCACAUUUAUAACUAGGAAAGGUACCACGACUGUCAGUUCUCAGAGCAUGACUGGCCUAUUCAUAACAACUUUGAUAUUGAUGAGGUUCAGCUUGACCCCAGAGUUCUGUCUGAUGUCACCAAUGAAGAAGUUCAAGUUGAUCCUCGAAAGUACUUGGACGGAGACCGAGAGAAGUAUCUGGAAGAUCCCGCCUUCCACCCCAGCUACUCUGCUGAGCCUUGCUGGCGGUACUCAGAUCACCAGGAGAACAAGUACUGUGAUCUGGAAUGUAGCCAUACCUGUAACUACAAAACAAGCUCAUCGUCAUACUUAGAUAACCUGGUGUGGAGGGAGAGUGAGGUUAACCAUUACUAUGAGCCCAAGCUUAUUAUAGAUCUUUCCAACUGGAAAGAACAAUGUAAAGAAAAAUCCGAUAAGAGAGGCAAGUCCAAGUGUGAGAGGAACGGGUUGGUUAAGGCGCAGAUCGCACUAGAGGAAGCGUCCCAGCAGCUGGCUGAGAGGGAGAGGGGCCAAGGCUUCGACUCCUUCAUCGCAGGGACCAUCCAGCUCAGUGCCCAGCACGAGUCUGCUGAUGUACUUGACAAGUUAAACGAUUUGAAUAGUUCAGUGUCCCAGCCAGAAUUGAAAAGCCUGAUAUCCAAGUCAGUCAGCCAAGAGAAGCAAGAAAAGGGAAGGGCUAACGUGGCCCAGCUGGAAGCUGUCCUCCUGGGACAGCCAGUUUGUGAGUGGCGGGGAGGAGUGUUUCCUCAUCAGUCAGUUUUGUUGUGAGGUCAGGAAGGAUGAGCAAGCACGUGGAGAAGGAGAACACCUACACCAGCAAGUUUUUUAGCAGGAAGGAGGAUUCUGAAAUGCUAGAAACUGAGCCAGUCGAGGAAGGGAAGCGCGGGGAGAGAGGCUGUGAGGCAGGGCUUCUGACCAGCGGUGGGGAGUUCCUCCUGAGCAAGCAGCUAGAGUCCAUAGGCACCCCGCGGCUCCACUGUCCAGUGAGAUCCCCACUUAAGUCCAUCCAGGCCGCGUUAACACCUUCCGCUAUGAAAUCUUCCCCUCAAAUCCCUCCCAAGACAUACAGCAGCAUUCUGAAACAUCUGAACCAAACACUCAGCAGACAUUCUCUUUGUUCUUCAUGAAGUGUGUUGUGUUUUUUAUCACUAAUGUUUUAAGUCAUUUUUUUUUUACUUGAAUCGGAAGGUGUCAUUAAUUUGCAAGGAUUUUUCUUGGUUCUCAGUUUGUAAGACACAGACUUUUUCUACAUGUGAGUUAGUUUUUAUUUGAACUGGCAUGUCGUUUGCACACACACAUACACACAAAGAAUAGAGCAAAACAAUGCAGUGCAGGAGGAGACAAGACGUGCUAGGAUGAAUAGACAUUCUCAUAGACCAGUGACCUGCUUUACAGGAAAGAAAACCUUGCCUUGAAACUUACACAGUGAGACUGUACAUAAUUGCAUGAAAAGAUCUAUUUUUUUCCUGAAACAUUUUUCAUUCAUUAGUAUUUUCAAGUUUUUCAUACUGUACACAUUUCUUAAGACACAUGAUAACAGCAGCAACUGAAAACGAAAGCCGAAUUUGGUACACAUGUGUCACCUACCUCAAGGUAACACAAGUAUGUGGUGAAACAUAACCCACCCAUAGUGCUCCAUGGCAUAUGCACUUCUAUUUAGCCAGCAUUUAUCAUACUAAACUAUUGAGACUCGUUCACCAUUUAUAAACGUUCUGGUGUUCAUUCUUUAUAGUGAAGUGUUAAAUACAUCACAUCUUAUUUAUUUUUAGCAAAUCAGUGUAUUUUCUGUAUUUAAUUAUAAAAGUUAACUUAGUUUUAAGUUUAUUUGCAACUGCCCUUCU